UGGCGACCGGCGCACGGGUGAGUAACACGUAUCCAACCUACCUUUAACAGGGGGAUAACACUGAGAAAUUGGUACUAAUACCCCAUAAUAUCAUAGAAGGCAUCUUUUAUGGUUGAAAAUUCCGAUGGUUAGAGAUGGGCAUGCGUUGUAUUAGCUAGUUGGUGGGGUAACGGCUCACCAAGGCGACGAUACAUAGGGGGACUGAGAGGUUAACCCCCCACACUGGUACUGAGACACGGACCAG
rnacentral:rRNA from 1 species